CCCACCAGCCUGUCCUUGUGUAGUAGAAGCAUUACUUCCAUGUCGGCUUCAGAAGGGCAAAGAUUCCUUUCCUCCUGAAAACAGUCAGCUGACCAAUAGGAAACCCUUCAUUGUCGAGGCGUCUCAUGUAGUACUGACGUCCUCGGAAGUUGGGUUCCUCGUAGAACAUCCAGUGGCCAUCAAACACAUUGCAGGAGUGAAUGUCAUGGAAACGAAAUCGAUCAUAAGUAUUGGGGCAGUCAUCAAAGAACUCCAUCAUCUGCCCUUGGUAAUACUGAUGUCCCCUGUAACUAGGGUGCUCAUAGAGGAUCCAGUUUCCACCCUCUAUCCUGAUGGAGUUACAGCGAUUGAAGUAUGAGGACAGAUCAGAACAGUCUGAGCCACACUCAUAGUGGCGACCUUGGAAAUUCCUUUCCUCGUAAAAGAAGAUCUAAAGAAAGACGUUGUAGGUUAAAAGCUUAUGUUUUGUACAUCUGGAACUGAAUAUAUGAUAUGAUAUUAUUUACACUUAUCUAUGCCAACAUUAUUACACGAUGCUGUACAACAGAUUUGAAAACACAUAAAUUCAGCUUUGAGAACAGUAAGAAGAUAAACCCUGUAAACAGACACAUUGAAUGUAUUUUAUGAAUAUGCAGAAUAUCUAGUAUUUUGUUGGAUAGAACAAUGUUACUUUAAGAGAAACAACCACCCGCUGAUUCUUUUUAAAAUUGGGUAUAUAUUCUGUUUAAGUUGGAUCUGGACCCCUAAAUUAACAAAAUGUAGUUUAUUAGAUGUGCUUUUUUUUACUGAUACAGUAAUUAGAAAUUAUCAGAAUUAUCAAGAUAUUUUUAUGGUUUUGACUUACCUUUCCCAUUGUGAAUGGAUAGCAGUUUCAGUACCACUGAAGUGAGAGAAGAGACAGCCUAUAUAUAUGCCCUGUAUUGCUGCCGUCUGCAUCUGCUCAGUCUGGAACAUAUAUUUUUGACCGGUAAGUAAAAUGUACAGAUCUUU